AUUGAACGCUGGCGGAAUGCUUUACACAUGCAAGUCGAGCGGCAGCGCGGGGCAACCUGGCGGCGAGCGGCGAACGGGUGAGUAACACAUCGGAACGUACCCUGUCGGGGGGGAUAACUAGUUGAAAGACUAGCUAAUACCGCAUACGACCUGAGGGUGAAAGCGGGGGAUCGCAAGACCCCGCGCGAUAGGAGCGGCCGGUGUCAGAUUAGGUAGUUGGUGGGGUAAAGGCCUACCAAGCCGACGAUCUGUAGCUGGUCUGAGAGGAUGAUCAGCCACACUGGGACUGAGACACGGCCCAGACUCCUACGGGAGGCAGCAGUGGGGAAUUUUGGACAAUGGGCGAAAGCCUGAUCCAGCCAUUCCGCGUGAGUGAAGAAGGCCUUCGGGUUGUAAAGCUCUUUCGGCAGGAACGAAAAGGUGGAGGCUAAUACCUUUCAUCGAUGACGGUACCUGAAGAAGAAGCACCGGCUAACUACGUGCCAGCAGCCGCCGUAAGAC
rnacentral:rRNA from 1 species